CGGGAGGAGAAGCACGAGCUCCUCGUUCACGGCUUCAGCUGACGUCACCAACGAGCCAGUAGUAGCGCCGCCGCGUCUGCAGAGUGGAGAACACAUCAGAAAUCUUCGGACUACCGGACUACUUUGUACUACUUUCAUUCAACUUAUUUUGGACAAAUCCACGAUUGGAAGAUCCGUGGCUAUUCAAUCGAUCCGGUGCUAUUGCAAAAAAGUUUGCAAGGGGAAACACUGUGCUGAGUCUGGAUCGGAACCUUGUCAACACAAACAUCUCCUCCUUCAUUUCUGCAUUGUGCCUCAUGUUCGGGAGCUACUACAUUUUCAACAUCCAUUAUCCAUCUGAGCUGGCUUCAACUCUGGAGUUCCUUCAAAGGUGUUUCUUCUCGAUAAACCCAGAAAAAGGAACCAAAGUAGAGAGUAAGAACAACAAGCGUCGUCUCAACCUGAACCCUCGAGUCCUCACCCUGAUACAGGAUCUCUCCGAUCACGAGUGGCGUCAAGCCUAAAUAUGAACUCUAUGUGGACUCUGACUGUUUGUUUGAGAAGAGGUACUUUUAGUUUUCGCUUUGUUAAUCCUAAAUGUGUAUUAUGGUAAUUAAGGCACACUGUGUAACUUUUCCUGGUAGAGGGUCCGCCACAUGCUUUUUUCAAUAUGUUAUUGCUUUGUAGUUAUGUUCCAGGUUGUUGUUUUUUACGGUGUCUUACUGCUUUUUUUCUAGAUGGCUUGUUUAGGUUUGUUUCCUUACAGGUGGUUUUCCCCCGAUGUGUUCUAUGUCCCACGGGCACGGACGUGGUGACAUCCUAUACAGCAGGGUGCAUAUUGUAUGGGGACGAUUCCGAAACAUAUAAUAUAUGUAGCUAUCUUCUCAAGUUAAUGCACGCACACACACACA